ensembl:lncRNA
UUUUUUUUAAAAACUCUGAGGUGUUCACUCUAAAGCAUAGUAUACACUACUGUUCAAAAGUUUGGGGUCACCCGGGCAAUUUCAUGUUUUCUAUGAAAAUGCAUACUUUUAUUCAUAUGCUAACAUAAUUACACAUGUGUUUUCUGAUCAUCAGUUAGCCUUUCAGCACAAUUAGCUAACACAAUGUACCAUAAAACACUUUCUAGGACAUUUCUAAGUGACCCCAAACUUUUGAACGGUAGUGUAAAUCAAAUGUCUGUUAAGAUACAUGCAACAUAAUCAUAAUUAGCUUAAAUCAGCCCUUAAAUUCUGCAGUCCAAGUUCAGCUGUAGACUUCAGCUGUAGACUGCAUGAAGUAACACUGCCUUAUAAUACUGCUUGUUUGUUAAUUUUGAAUCAAGGAGUUUGUCAAGUCCUCCACCUCAGCCGCAAGUUAGGGGCAGAUUCUCCUUCCCUUCCCCCAUCUCUCCCUCUCCUAAGUGGCCUGUGGCAUGCGGAGAGGUGCUGCCAAUCACAAUCAGUUGAAUUGGUGGGCGACCAGGUGGGAGUGAUCAUCACGUAUCAUCCUUCUUCCCAUAAAAGCCAGACGCUGCCACGACUCCUCGCCGGAUUGUGAACUACCCCAUUUGGAUUCCUGCCUGCUCGUGCUUCCUGCUUGGAUCUCCCCAGAAUCACCGCGGAUCUCCGUCACCGCCACGGCCCUAGCGAAGACACCGACCGCUGCAGCACCUGUCCGAACCCGGAUCACCACCAGCCACCUGCUACCUCACCUGCUCUGUCCUCCCAUCGCCUGUUCUCUACCUCGGACAGUUAAAUUCCCUGCCCGCUCUCUGAGCCAGUUCAAUUUUGUGUAUUUCCAGUUCAUCGUAGUUAGUUUCCGUGUUCCCAGCAUCCUAGCAGUUUUGCCCUGCACCAAACUUUUUGGCAGACAUGUUACUUUGUACCCGUUCUUUGAUUUACUGUCCUGCUUUGGUAGUACCAAGUUGCAGUUCAUUUCUGCUAAACCUGUUGUUCUUGUGUAUAGAGUUUGCAUUACCCUCCGCUCCUUUAGUGGGUGCUGUUUAGCUCUAGCGCUAAGCUUUCCACCAUCCUGCUUUGGUGACCUCUCGUAUAUCACAUCCUGGUGAAAUUUUGUGUACUUCAUAAUAAAUAGGAACUCCAAUUCGCCAGUCUGUCAUAUCUCUGUUGUUGUGGCAUUUUAAGAUUGAAUAAAUGAUAAAACUAGACAAA